rnacentral:rRNA from 1 species
UACGGGGGAUGCAAGCGUUAUCCGGAUUUAUUGGGCGUAAAGCGCCUGUAGGUUGUUUAAUAAGUCUGUUGUUAAAGACUAGGGCUUAACCCUGGGAAAGCAAUGGAAACUAAUAAACUUGAGUAUGGCAGGGGUAGAGGGAAUUUCUAGUGUAGCGGUGAAAUGCGUAGAUAUUAGAAAGAACACCGGUGGCGAAAGCGCUCUACUGGACCAUUACUGACACUCAGAGGCGAAAGCUAGGGGAGCGAAAGGGAUUAGAUACCCCUGUAGUCCUAGCCGUAAACGAUGGGUACUAGAUGUUGUGUUUUAUAUACAGUAUCGUAGCUAACGCGUUAAGUACCCCGCCUGGGGAGUACGCUCGCAAGGGUG